UAAGUAAGCUUUGAUCCAGAGAUUUCCGAAUGGGGAAACCCAGCAUGAGUUAUGUCAUGUUAUCGAUAUGUGAAUACAUAGCAUAUCAGAAGGCACACCCGGAGAACUGAAACAUCUUAGUACCCGGAGGAAGAGAAAGAAAAUUCGAUUCCCUUAGUAGCGGCGAGCGAAACGGGAAGAGCCCAAACCAACAAGCUUGCUUGUUGGGGUUGUAGGACACUCUAUACGGAGUUACAAAGGACGACAUUAGACGAAUCAUCUGGAAAGAUGAAUCAAAGAAGGUAAUAAUCCUGUAGUCGAAAAUGUUGUCUCUCUUGAGUGGAUCCUGAGUACGACGGAGCACGUGAAAUUCCGUCGGAAUCUGGGAGGACCAUCUCCUAAGGCUAAAUACUCUCUAGUGACCGAUAGUGAACCAGUACCGUGAGGGAAAGGUGAAAAGCACCCCGGAAGGGGAGUGAAAUAGAACCUGAAACCGUGUGCUUACAAGUAGUCAGAGCCCGUUAAUGGGUGAUGGCGUGCCUUUUGUAGAAUGAACCGGCGAGUUACGAUUUGAUGCAAGGUUAAGCAGUAAAUGUGGAGCCGUAGCGAAAGCGAGUCUGAAUAGGGCGUUUAGUAUUUGGUCGUAGACCCGAAACCAGGUGAUCUACCCUUGGUCAGGUUGAAGUUCAGGUAACACUGAAUGGAGGACCGAACCGACUUACGUUGAAAAGUGAGCGGAUGAACUGAGGGUAGCGGAGAAAUUCCAAUCGAACCUGGAGAUAGCUGGUUCUCUCCGAAAUAGCUUUAGGGCUAGCCUCAAGUGAUGAUUAUUGGAGGUAGAGCACUGUUUGGACGAGGGGCCCCUCUCGGGUUACCGAAUUCAGACAAACUCCGAAUGCCAAUUAAUUUAACUUGGGAGUCAGAACAUGGGUGAUAAGGUCCGUGUUCGAAAGGGAAACAGCCCAGACCACCAGCUAAGGUCCCAAAAUAUAUGUUAAGUGGAAAAGGAUGUGGCGUUGCCCAGACAACUAGGAUGUUGGCUUAGAAGCAGCCAUCAUUUAAAGAGUGCGUAAUAGCUCACUAGUCGAGUGACACUGCGCCGAAAAUGUACCGGGGCUAAACAUAUUACCGAAGCUGUGGAUUGUCCUUUGGACAAUGGUAGGAGAGCGUUCUAAGGGCGUUGAAGCAUGAUCGCAAGGACAUGUGGAGCGCUUAGAAGUGAGAAUGCCGGUGUGAGUAGCGAAAGACGGGUGAGAAUCCCGUCCACCGAUUGACUAAGGUUUCCAGAGGAAGGCUCGUCCGCUCUGGGUUAGUCGGGUCCUAAGCUGAGGCCGACAGGCGUAGGCGAUGGAUAACAGGUUGAUAUUCCUGUACCACCUAUAAUCGUUUUAAUCGAUGGGGGGACGCAGUAGGAUAGGCGAAGCGUGCGAUUGGAUUGCACGUCUAAGCAGUAAGGCUGAGUAUUAGGCAAAUCCGGUACUCGUUAAGGCUGAGCUGUGAUGGGGAGAAGACAUUGUGUCUUCGAGUCGUUGAUUUCACACUGCCGAGAAAAGCCUCUAGAUAGAAAAUAGGUGCCCGUACCGCAAACCGACACAGGUAGUCAAGAUGAGAAUUCUAAGGUGAGCGAGCGAACUCUCGUUAAGGAACUCGGCAAAAUGACCCCGUAACUUCGGGAGAAGGGGUGCUCUUUAGGGUUAACGCCCAGAAGAGCCGCAGUGAAUAGGCCCAAGCGACUGUUUAUCAAAAACACAGGUCUCUGCUAAACCGUAAGGUGAUGUAUAGGGGCUGACGCCUGCCCGGUGCUGGAAGGUUAAGAGGAGUGGUUAGCUUCUGCGAAGCUACGAAUCGAAGCCCCAGUAAACGGCGGCCGUAACUAUAACGGUCCUAAGGUAGCGAAAUUCCUUGUCGGGUAAGUUCCGACCCGCACGAAAGGCGUAACGAUUUGGGCACUGUCUCAACGAGAGACUCGGUGAAAUCAUAGUACCUGUGAAGAUGCAGGUUACCCGCGACAGGACGGAAAGACCCCGUGGAGCUUUACUGUAGCCUGAUAUUGAAAUUCGGCACAGCUUGUACAGGAUAGGUAGGAGCCUUUGAAACGUGAGCGCUAGCUUACGUGGAGGCGCUGGUGGGAUACUACCCUAGCUGUGUUGGCUUUCUAACCCGCACCACUUAUCGUGGUGGGAGACAGUGUCAGGCGGGCAGUUUGACUGGGGCGGUCGCCUCCUAAAAGGUAACGGAGGCGCUCAAAGGUUCCCUCAGAAUGGUUGGAAAUCAUUCAUAGAGUGUAAAGGCAUAAGGGAGCUUGACUGCGAGACCUACAAGUCGAGCAGGGUCGAAAGACGGACUUAGUGAUCCGGUGGUUCCGCAUGGAAGGGCCAUCGCUCAACGGAUAAAAGCUACCCCGGGGAUAACAGGCUUAUCUCCCCCAAGAGUUCACAUCGACGGGGAGGUUUGGCACCUCGAUGUCGGCUCAUCGCAUCCUGGGGCUGUAGUCGGUCCCAAGGGUUGGGCUGUUCGCCCAUUAAAGCGGUACGCGAGCUGGGUUCAGAACGUCGUGAGACAGUUCGGUCCCUAUCCGUCGUGGGCGUAGGAAAUUUGAGAGGAGCUGUCCUUAGUACGAGAGGACCGGGAUGGACAUACCUCUGGUGUACCAGUUGUCGUGCCAACGGCAUAGCUGGGUAGCUAUGUGUGGACGGGAUAAGUGCUGAAAGCAUCUAAGCAUGAAGCCCCCCUCAAGAUGAGAUUUCCCAACUUCGGUUAUAAGAUCCCUCAAAGAUGAUGAGGUUAAUAGGUUCGAGGUGGAAGCAUGGUGACAUGUGGAGCUGACGAAUACUAAUCGAUCGAAGACUUAAUCAA
rnacentral:rRNA from 1 species